rnacentral:rRNA from 1 species
GCAUAUCAAUAAGCGGAGGAAAAGAAACCAACAGGGAUUGCCUCAGUAGCGGCGAGUGAAGCGGCAAGAGCUCAGAUUUGAAAUCGUGCUUUGCGGCACGAGUUGUAGAUUGCAGGUUGGAGUCUGUGUGGAAGGCGGUGUCCAAGUCCCUUGGAACAGGGCGCCCAGGAGGGUGAGAGCCCCGUGGGAUGCCGGCGGAAGCAGUGAGGCCCUUCUGACGAGUCGAGUUGUUUGGGAAUGCAGCUCCAAGCGGGUGGUAAAUUCCAUCUAAGGCUAAAUACUGGCGAGAGACCGAUAGCGAACAAGUACUGUGAAGGAAAGAUGAAAAGCACUUUGAAAAGAGAGUGAAACAGCACGUGAAAUUGUUGAAAGGGAAGGGUAUUGCGCCCGACAUGGGGAUUGCGCACCGCUGCCUCUCGUGGGCGGCGCUCUGGGCUUUCCCUGGGCCAGCAUCGGUUCUUGCUGCAGGAGAAGGGGUUCUGGAACGUGGCUCUUCGGAGUGUUAUAGCCAGGGCCAGAUGCUGCGUGCGGGGACCGAGGACUGCGGCCGUGUAGGUCACGGAUGCUGGCAGAACGGCGCAACACCGCCCGUCUUGAAACAC